GGGGGGUUGUUUAUUAUUUAAAUGCAGGUAACAUAUUUACACUUCGACUUGACAAUAUCAUUUCUGUCUGACUUGACUAAACAACUUAAAGGGACAUAAGCGACUGGUUUUCCAAUACAAACAUUUUAAAAUGGCACACUGAGGGAAAUAAUAACAGUAUUGUUCAGUGAUGAAUUGUAACAACUUUUAAAUCGAACAACUACACAUUUCACAAUUUAACAACUAUGUAGACAGGCUUUAGAAAGACAAUUUGUAUUCAGGCACUGAUUCGAAAGUGUGAGUUCACAAAUGUUUCAAGAGCUCUUCUAUUUUAAGGGUCAUUGUACACAUUUUAUCUUUAUAAAAGAGAAAGUCACUCAAAAUGAGACUGUCAUUUAUUAUUUUUAUUUGUGUUUGUGUGUGUGUGUGUGUGUGUGUGUGUGUGUGUGUGUGUGUGUGUGUGUGUGUCUUUUCUUGAAAGAUGUUGACAUGUCUAGACCUGUUCUUCUUAAUUUGUAUUUUUUUUCUGUUUAGCAUCUACAAGGCUGUGAGAGGCACUGACUACCAAAACUCUAGUGGAAGACCACCGUCCUCCGCUCUUGCUAUUCCACAAAAGGAUCAGCUUUUGUAGGAGCAACAAAGAUCAACCCUGCUCUGAAGACGGGGCACAACUCAACAUUGGACUAGACAAACUGAGUGGAAUUUCAACAAGGCAUUGAUAGCUCUACCCUUUACUGUGAGACACAGACUUUUGUCUUUCUCUCUGCUUAUUAACUUCAAUGGCUCAUUUUGUGUGUCACAAAUGAUUAAUGUGAUCUAUCUUAACUAGCUGAACCUGCUUGAUUUGCUCCAUGACUUCUAAUGCCAUAUGGAGAUGUUCAAACUCUUCCCUUCAGAGCACACACAGGCCUGAAUACAGAUAUUUUAGACAAAGCAUACAGAAGCAUAUGCACACAAAAUCAUUUACAAAAGCACACAUAAAUAAGAGCAAACCCAGCUCAACACUGAACGCAAAGGUGGAUGGCUAUUAUUUUAGUUACAACUUGGCCUAUGGUACUGAAAGUUUGAUUUAGCCAUAUCUGGUUCAUUUUGUUGAUGCAUUUUCAGUCAUACAACAUAAUAAAGUAACUCCUUUAGAAUAUAAUAAUACAAACACAUAUUUGGGAAACCACUGCCAAAAGCAUAUAGGAAAUAUUUACAUAAUACUAUUUAGCUUGGUAAACUCAUUAAUAGCCAACAUAAGGUUCAGUUUUCAUGAAUAUGUCAUUAACAAUUAUAUUCUUAACAGAUCUGUUGUUGAUGUAAUGUCGUUGUAAUUACAUUUUUAACUGUUUACAUAUACAUAAAAUAAUGAUCUGUACACCCUUUUGUUACAUAAUAAUAUCUGAUUUAAGGGUCAAAUUGUCCUUGAUCUAUUUAAUUAAAACAUUUGAUGUUGAAAGUAACUAAAAGCAUAAAAAAAAUGAAUGAUAAAAGGCAUAAAUUGUAUAAUAAAAGAUGUGGGGUGGCAUCUGAGAUUCUGCAUGGCCUUCUAAAGGAACUGAAGUUAUAUUUUACCAAGGUCCCAAUCAUUUCAGUCUGACCUUACUUAUAAAAGCGCAGAUGUUGUUUUGUGAACCUGUCACAUUGUAAUGCAGGCUUUGAUAAGAGAGUUUUACUGAAAAAUGGAGACAACAAAUCCCCAACACACAAGUAAGCGCUGGUACUCUUUUCACAAAAAAAGAGGAGGCAUACACAGAAAACCUAAAGAUACAGCAGCAAAAUGGCUUGAUAAAUUCAACAUGUCAGAGAGAAGGUAGAAGAUGGUCAUAAGUAAAUUAUGACUGUGCUUGAUGCGAGAAACAAAAAACUUACAUUUAUAAAAAAAUAAAAUAAAAUUAUGUUAUGACCCCUUUAAUGUAACUAAUGAAAAUGUUGCCAAGAAUUCUUGAGAUCAGAGUCUUAUAGGACAUUUCAAGUCAGUGAAACCAGCAGCCCAGGCCUCCUGUGCUGGAUGGAAAUCAAAGCACAUCUUUUUUUUUCUGAAUAACUGAUGAACUAUACCAGCUGGACUCAUGUAGAGGUAUGUCUAAACACGCACACACUCACUCACACUCACUAUGUUUAUGUACGAACAUGAAUAAUAACUUUGAGUGAAAUUAAGAGGCCAUGCAGAAUGGCCUUGGGAGGGAUGUGAGGAAUGCUGGAGGGUGGAUGAGUCUGUGUGUGAAUGCUUUCAUACACAGCUGUUGUCCUCCCCUCUGUGUUCUCUUCUCUUGGGUAAUUACUCUGAUUAUAGAGAGAUAGAGCUGAAGAAAGCAAAACCUCUUGUGCUCACACUCACAUAGAUAAAUACGCUCCAUAGAGGUGUCACAAAACCCGAACUGGCAGAUGAACAAUUUGUGUGUGUGUGUAUGUGUGUGUGUGUGUGUGUGUGUGUGUGUGUGUGUGUGUGUGUGUGUGUGUGUGUGUAUGUGUGUGUGCGAUCAUCCAAAAUGCCUUUCUCAUCAGCCAUUAUUUAUGUUCAUCUUAAAGGGAUCACUUACCCAAAAAUGAAAAUUUCAUAAUAGUUUACUUGCCCUCAUGUUGUUCCAAACCUGUAUGACUUGCUUUUUAUUUGUGGAUCACAAACUAAAAUAUUAUAAAAAAAAAUGGAGUUCUGGUGUUGAGACAUUUAUAUGGGCAAAAACAGCUGAAACAUUCUUCAAAAUAUCUUAUUUUCCAUUCUACAGAAGAAACCAUAAGUGUUUUAAUUUCAUAAAGGUUUGGAAUGACAUGACCAUAAACAUUGACAAAAUUUUCCCUUUUGGGUGCAGGUAUGUACAGGCAACUACCGGUCAUAAUUAAAGAAAGAUAUUGAAAUAAAAUAUUUUAAUGUUUUUGAAAGAAGUCUCU
ensembl:lncRNA